UACGAAGGGGGCUAGCGUUGUUCGGAAUCACUGGGCGUAAAGGGCGCGUAGGCGGCUUUUCAAGUCGGGGGUGAAAGCCUGUGGCUCAACCACAGAAUUGCCUUCGAUACUGUUAGGCUUGAGACCGGAAGAGGUGAGUGGAACUGCGAGUGUAGAGGUGAAAUUCGUAGAUAUUCGCAAGAACACCAGUGGCGAAGGCGGCUCACUGGUCCGGUUCUGACGCUGAGGCGCGAAAGCCAGGGGAGCAAACGGG
rnacentral:rRNA from 1 species